rnacentral:rRNA from 1 species
GACGAACGCUGGCGGCGUGCCUAAUACAUGCAAGUAGAACGCAGUUGCGAACGGGUGAGUAACGCGUAGGUAACUGCCUGGUAGCGGGGGAUAACUAUUGGAAACGAUAGCUAAUACCGCAUACUACCAGAUGGACCUGCGUUGUAUUAGCGAGUUGAUGAGGUAACGGCUCACCAAGGCAACGAUACAUAGCCGACCUCAGGGUGUGAUCGGCGACACUGGGACUGCGACACUGCCCAGAAUCCUACGGGAGGCAGCAGUAGGGAAUCUGCGGCAAUGGGGGGAACCCUGACCGAGCAACGCCGCGUGAUUGGAGAAGGUUUUCGGAUCUUAAAGCUCUGUUGUUAAUGAAGCGGUACUUAACCAGAAAGGGACGGCUAACUACGUGCCAGCAGCCGCGGUAAUAG